rnacentral:tRNA from 1 species
GCCACGGUGGUCUAGCGGUUAGAACGCUGGCCUUGUAAUCCUGGGGUCUCGGGUUCGAUUCCCGGUGGGCA